rnacentral:lncRNA from 1 species
CUAUAGAGUUGUUACACUUUUUCAAGCACUAACUUUAUACCUGGUUGGCUCUUUUACCUGGUUGGCUGGAUAGUCAUUUUUAUGAUGUGAUAAUUACUUUGCAUGUGUGGCUGGUCUAAAUUUAUUGCAUGAUUAACCAAUUAAUUGUGUAAUAUAUGUAAGAUGUAGCAGGAACCUUAAAAAAGUGGGGGUUUUUUGUUGUUGUUUUUUUUUUUUCAAGAUGACACAUUUCCAGACAGCUGGAUGUCACAGAGAGGCUGGGCCACCCUAGCGUAAACAGAUGCAAUUCUGUUGAAGACCAUGUGAGCUGCAGAGCUACUUAUGCCAGAACAGAAUUUGCCCUAUAUUAACAAUGGUGGAACAAGGAGUGUGCUGGUGGUCUUGGACUCCCUGUAACCUACCUCAAAGUAGAAAUAACGACAAGACAAACUGGUUCUGUUGCAGCCAGGAAGCUGGAUAACAUCUAAGUAUUUUGUUCUGAGAACAUCAGGAUUUAGGAGAUCAGCAGAAUUAAGGAUGGAGUGAGUUCUUCAGUGAGUGACUCACAAAAAAAAAUUCA